UUCCGCUGAGGAGAUCUUUUCUCAGAUCUAAAAUGUCUGGGGAAUAAGGGGAGGGCAAGUCUGGUGUCAGCCGCCGCGGUAAUACCAGCUCCUCGAGUGGUCAGGGCGUUUAUUGGGCCUAAAGCAUCCGUAGCCGGCUCAGUAGGUCUCCUGUUAAAUCCAACGGCUCAACUGUUGGUCUGCAGGAGAUACCACUGGGCUAGGAGGCGGGAGAGGCGGACGGUACUCCGAGGGUAGGGGUAAAAUCCUUUGAUCCCCGGAAGACCACCAGUGGCGAAGGCGGUCCGCCAGAACGCGCUCGACGGUGAGGGAUGAAAGCUGGGGGAGCGAACCGGAUUAGAUACCCCCGUAGUCC
rnacentral:rRNA from 1 species